UACGUAGGGGGCGAGCGUUGUCCGGAAUUAUUGGGCGUAAAGAGCGUGUAGGCGGUUCGGUAAGUCUGCUGUGAAAUCCUGGGGCUCAACCCCGGGCGUGCAGCGGAUAUUGCCGGGCUAGAGGGUGGUAGAGGCGAGUGGAAUUCCCGGUGUAGCGGUGAAAUGCGCAGAUAUCAGGAGGAACACCGGUGGCGAAGGCGGGUCUCUGGGCCGAUACUGACGCUGAGGAGCGAAAGCGUGGGGAGCGAACAGG
rnacentral:rRNA from 1 species